rnacentral:rRNA from 1 species
UACGAAGGGGGCUAGCGUUGCUCGGAAUUACUGGGCGUAAAGGCGCGUAGGCGGACAGUUUAGUCAGAGGUGAAAGCCCAGGGCUCAACCUUGGAACUGCCUUUGAUACUGGCGAGCUUGAGUCCGGGGAGAGGUGAGUGGAACUGCGAGUGUAGAGGUGAAAUUCGUAGAUAUUCGCAAGAACACCAGUGGCGAAGGCGGCUCACUGGACCGGAACUGACGCUGAGGCGCGAAAGCGUGGGAGCAAACAGG